CGCAUUCCUCCCUAUGGAUACCCUUUUAGGUCCUGGAAGGUCACAGCUCAUAAGCACCCUUUGGGUCCUGGAAGGUCACAGCAUGAGUCCCAUUCCCGCCUAUGGAUACCUUUUAGGUCCUGGAAGGUCACAGCAACGCGUCGCUUUCCUGCCUAUAGGCACCCUUUGGGUCCUGGAAGGUCACAGCUCAUAAACACCUUUUAGGUCCUGGAAGGUCACAGCUCAUAGGCACCCUUUGGGUCCUGGAAGGUCACAGCACGAGUCCCAUUCCCGCCUAUGGAUACCUUUUAGGUCCUGGAAGGUCACAGCAUGAGUCCCAUUCCUGCCUAUGGGUACCUUUUAGGUCCUGGAAGGUCACAGCAUGAGUCCCAUUCCCACCUAUGGGUACCUCUUAGGUCCUGGAAGGUCACAGCAUGAGUCCCAUUCCUGCCUAUGGGUACCUUUUAGGUCCUGGAAGGUCACAGCAUGAGUCCCAUUCCCG